rnacentral:rRNA from 1 species
AGAGUUUGAUCAUGGCUCAGAAUCAACGCUGGCGGCGUGCCUAACACAUGCAAGUCGAGCGAGAAAGGGUAGCAAUACCUGAGUAAAGCGGCGCACGGGUGAGUAACACGUGGAUAACCUGCCUCGAAGUGGGGGAUAACACCGGGAAACCGGUGCUAAUACCGCAUACCCUGACGAGAUCUGCGGAUUUUGUCAGUAAAGGAGCAAUUCGCUUUGAGAGGGGUCCGCGGCUGAUUAGCUAGUUGGUGAGGUAAUGGCUCACCAAGGCAUCGAUCAGUAGCCGGUCUGAGAGGACGGUCGGCCACACUGGAACUGAGACACGGUCCAGACUCCUACGGGAGGCAGCAGUGGGGAAUUUUUGGCAAUGGGGGAAACCCUGACCAAGCAACGCCGCGUGGAUGAUGAAGUAUCUUGGUACGUAAAAUCCUUUCGACGGGGACGAAACCGCAAGGUUGACGGUACCCGUAGAAGAAGCCCCGGCUAACUCCGUGCCAGCAGCCGCGGUAAUACGGGGGGGGCAAGCGUUGUUCGGAAUUACUGGGCGUAAAGGGCGCGUAGGCGGCUCGCUAAGUCGGAUGUGAAAACUCUGGGCUCAACCCAGAGCCUGCAUUCGAAACUGACGAGCUCGAGUUCUGGAGGGGAAAGCGGAAUUCCUGGUGUAGCGGUGAAAUGCGUAGAUAUCAGGAGGAACACCGGUGGCGAAGGCGGCUUUCUGGACAGAAACUGACGCUGAUGCGCGAAAGCUAGGGGAGCAAACAGGAUUAGAUACCCUAGUAGUCC